GUUUCAAUGAUAGUGGGCUUGUCACUCGCUUUACUGCUUUGUUUGCUCAACAUCCUUCGCUCUCUCAGCAGCUACAGAGUCACUCUUCUUGCCCUCUACAGAGGAGAUCAUUCCCACAUCCCACCGCCGGAUGCCGGCAGCUAUGUUAAUUACUGUGUAAACAGCAUCAAGUACGGAGGAUUUCAAGUUGCGUAUAUUGUUUGGG